CGAUUUGAAACAACUGAAGAUCAAUUACGUCUGCUUUUCCACGAACACGAGUAAGGAAAGUCUAAGUGUCAAACCGAGUCUAACUAUUAUAAAUCCAAAAGCUGGUGAUCAAAUGUCUACAAAAACUAUAUUCUGGUUUACUGCUGAACCCUUGGUUUGUUUGGAAAAAGGAGUUUGUCCAAAUUGAGGAACGGCAUUUCCACGACGACAGAGACAGCAAAUGAAAUGAAGAAGGCAAUCAUGAGAAUCCCAAGGCCAAAAAAGACGGUGCAGUAUUGUCCUUUGAAUGGGAUUCCGUCCGAUUGUACAGAGACACAUGCAUCAAACAAUCCGGGCUCGUGGUGAACGUCGCUGCUUCCUUCUAUGUAAAUCAGAUCUUCCACCAAUCUUCCCGACGAUUCGUACACUACAACAAAGUAACAAUGUGCAUCACCCACUUUAGGAAAUCUAAGUCAGGAGAGACUAAAUGAUACUGACCGGCGUGAAAACCACAGCUCCUCGUGCUGGUUAAGUCCCCUCAAAUGUCCCUGUAGAAUGUGGCUGCAUCUUUACCGGAUACUUCCUGAACAAUCGGCCAAUUUGAAUUCGGACAGAUCCGUUUUGCUCUGAUUAGACGACCGAGUCUUGAUUGGCCAUUUAACUUGGUAUUCCAAAUGCAGGUAAUGUAGAAUGACAU